GAGCUCUGAAGUGUGGGUGCUGGAAGGCCUGGGGAAAAAUGGGGGGACGGGACAGGUUUUUUCUGUCCCCCCCCAAGCCAUUUUUCGGGGGAGGGGGUGGCUUUGGGGGGAAACAGAAAAAAACCUGGUCCCCCCCCCCAAUUUUUCCGGUUUUUUUCCAGGCCUUCCCAUCUCUAGUUCUGUGCUU